rnacentral:lncRNA from 1 species
UGGUGGUGGAGGAGGAGGAGGAGGAGGAGAUUUGUUAAUGACUUGUGGGGCAUGGCCUAGUAUAGCUGCUAAAUGAACGUAAGAAAGUCAAGUUUUGAGACUGGGUUGAACAUGAGAGGCUGGGAAUGAUCCUCUUUUCCUCUUCUAGAAGCUGAUGGACUUCAGGACCAGGGUGAUUCACAAACACAAGAGCCUUCUGGUUAAUUCCACAGGGAGAGACAAACGGGUGUUCUCAGGAGUUGCUCUGAAUGCGGUAUAUUUACUUUGGAAAGUGUGAUUCUCAAUCCCUCUUUCUGUCUCUCUCUCUCUCUGUCUCUCUGUCUCUCUGUCUCUCUGUCUCUCUCUGUCUCUCUCUCUCUCUCUCUCUCUCUCACACACACACACACACACACACACACACACACACUGAAUCUUGAGAUUCAUUUGCAAACUGAGUGUGAGCCUCACUCUCCUUGUCAACUUGAUUUUGAUGUAACUUACCAAUGCCUCUGUAACAGCGAAGACAGGUAAAGGAAGAAUAAGCAUUUCUGCACAUGGGCAAACUGGCAUUUAGAUCCCCAGUACCUGUGUAAAGGCCAGGCAGCAUGGUGGCCAGCCGUUAGUCUUACUCUUAAGACGGGGAGACAGGAGAUUCCUGGAGUAAGCUAGCUAGCUUGCUGAACUGCCAGUCUCUAGUGGGAAACCUUGCCUCAAAAUGUAAGGUGACAAGUGGUUGAGAAAGACACUUGACAUCAACCCCUGGUCUACCUAGGCACCUGUACACAUGUCACACACACACACACACACACACACACACACACACACCCCACAAGGGAAAAAUUUUGAUAGUAGUGGAAAAAUUGAAGGAAUGUGUGUAAUGUCAAAAAAUGGAUACAACUCAAAUAUGAAUUCAUUACUUACAGAGCAUUUGUUCUAUAUAUCUCCCUUCUAGCAAGUAGUUUUGUGAUAGCAAACAAAUUAAAAUUUAUUGCCCAUGAAUCCUAAGGAGGGAUUAAAAAGCUUGCUUGUAAGUUACCCAGGGCUGUAAUUGGACCUGAGGGGGCAAUCAGGGGCGGACACGGGCGUCAGAGUCCCCUGUCAAGUUGACCGGCUGGUCCUGCAUGUCAGCAUCUCCCUCUGCUGCAGCUGUACACGGAAUACCCUCAUGAAGUGGAAAACCACGAGUGCCAGCAGUUCUUCGGAUCAGCGCCUGUGGUUGACUUUCUUGGUUCUAAUCAAAGGUCUCAGACGUCUUACUGGCCCGUGUCAGGUGCCUGUCGUCCUUGAUCUCUGAGUGUGGUCCGGGAAGUAAGAGCAUAUGUACAAACAAAAGUGGUUGUGGCCGUGUGGGAAGUGGGAGGAGGGGGCACUGGUAUUUAUCAAGAGAGCUUUGGAGGCCGGUAAUAGCACAGAUGACUCUAAUUAUUAAGAAUCCUAGCACAAUUAAAUUUUAUCUAAUUGAUGUAUUUAAUUAAGUAUACUUUACUUCAACUGUAAUUUCUAACUGAUCGGGACCCACUCACCCUGCAGCUGGCUCCCCCCAUCACGGGUUCUUUUUAGGUCUGUUUACACU